rnacentral:rRNA from 1 species
UACGUAGGUGGCAAGCGUUGUCCGGAUUUACUGGGCGUAAAGAGCGCGCAGGCGGUCGUUCAAGUCGCGUGUGAAAGCCCCCGGCUCAACUGGGGAGGGUCACGCGAUACUGAUCGACUCGAAGGCAGGAGAGGGUAGUGGAAUUCCCGGUGUAGUGGUGAAAUGCGCAGAUAUCAGGAGGAACACCAGCGGCGAAGGCGGCGCUCUGGGCCGGUACUGACACUGAGGAGCGAAAGCGUGGGUAGCAAACAGG